UGCACAGGGUGGAAUCUCAGGUCUCGUCAAUAUUGCAAUAUUUGCUGAAUCGUUUGUAUGUGGCUAUAGUUUGGUUUGCUGGUGUGAAGUACACGAGAAGCUGCAAUGAAGAGAUGCCUCUCCUUUGUUUGACACGCUCUUGUGCUGUCAUCCGUUCCUUUUAUGUUCCGCCAAGGCUGGUGUGGAUCUGCCGAACAGCCAAACAAAACCUGCAAGUUUUGGUCCGUUCACGUAUUUGUUAUAUUUAUUAAUCACCUCCGUCUCUUCCAGUCCCACGUGCGUCCGGAACAAGAUGGCACGAUUGAGUUGCAGGAUAAAAUAUUGUGGAGGUUGCGUGAAGAGUUACCUGGAUACCGGUGAUAUGUUAACCUGGAUUCAUCAGAACAAUAUCUUUGGAUAAUCUAUUGUUUUUCAUACU